rnacentral:lncRNA from 1 species
AAACGUUAUAAACAUGGUUCGAUCGUUCUCACUUUCCAUGGAGUGAUCGUUCCACUCCCAAAGACCCUUUGGGAAUAGGAACGAGUUGUUUGUUGAAGGUGUUAACCCCAGAACCUAGAUCAGGUCGCAUGACAUUGAUGUUUCCGAAAGUCGGAUGCGGGAAGCCAGGUAUGAUCAGAGAUGGGUGGAAUCCGGGGACGAAAUAUGGUGGUGAAGAAUAUGGAAGAACUUGUGCAAGGAUGUCUGAAAAGAUUCUAGAACAAAUGGUGUUUAGAAAGGUUUUGAUACCAGCAAUGGCGGUGUAUCGAUAUUUGUAAAUCAUGGAAAGUGAGAUCUGUUUUUGCAAAUAUCGUGAAGUGAGAGGGAUUUGGUCGAAGCCAUUUGGGGGAUCAGAGGACUCGAUGCAUCGGAAGCAGGAGACAGCUUCGUUAGCAAGAGAUGCAAUAUAUAUUAGGUGAACUUACGCAGUCUUCUCGCAUGUAAACGCCUACCACACACUUUUCUCCAAAUAUGUUGGUGAAAAGCUCCUUAACUUCGGCCUGCGACACAGGAAAGCCACGAGAAAACGUUAUAAACAUGGUUCGAUCGUUCUCACUUUCCAUGGAGUGAUCGUUCCACUCCCAAAGACCCUUUGGGAAUAGGAACGAGUUGUUUGUUGAAGGUGUUAACCCCAGAACCUAGAUCAGGUCGCAUGACAUUGAUGUUUCCGAAAGUCGGAUGCGGGAAGCCAGGUAUGAUCAGAGAUGGGUGGAAUCCGGGGACGAAAUAUGGUGGUGAAGAAUAUGGAAGAACUUGUGCAAGGAUGUCUGAAAAGAUUCUAGAACAAAUG